rnacentral:lncRNA from 1 species
UAGAAGUAAAAAAAAAAAAAAGUUUAUUUGGGCUGACCAUUUCAGAGGUCCAUAGAUGGCCAACUCCACUGGCCCAACAUGAGGCAGAACAUGAAAGCAGAAGGGCCAUGGCAAGACAAGUUGCUCACCUCAUGGCAGGCAGGAAACAGAGGAGAGAGGUGGGAAAAGAAGCCGCAGAAAAGAUGGAAUUCAUCCAGGGCAUAUCCCCAGUGUCCCACCUCCUCUAGGCAUGCCCCACCUGCCUACAGUUAACACCCAAUCAGUUCAUUCAAACUAGAAUGUGCAGAUUAGAUUACAACUUUCACAAUUGGAUCAUUUCACCUCUGAACAGCCCUUUGUUAACAGGGUCUUUGCUUCACACCUCAUACCCAAACCAUGGCAGUCAGUUUUUCUUCUUUACCACCUGAUGGUUCCUCUUAGUAAUUUUCCCCCACCUUAUUACUUGACUAUACAUCUCCACUUGCUCUUGCAAUGUUCAGAAUUGAGUCGUCCAGUCUCUCUCCAAUGGAUGGGCAGAGGACAAGAUAGAAUGAUGGCAGAAAAGACAGAUCAUGCCAUAAACUCCCACUAGGCCCCUCCUCAAAAAUUUCCAAGUUCUUUUGUGCCUAGGUUUGGCCAAGGUUGGCAUGCCAUUUAGGUGGGGAUGCCCCAAGAUCUGAUGGGACAUCCAAGGACUUGUUCUCAUUUCUUGCCUUCAGAAAAUUCUCCAUCUUCUUACUGUGCCACCCACCCCUGAAGAUGCCACAAUUGCUUCAAGGUUUGUUUUCCUGGGGCUUCUAGGGCUGAAACCUGUGGAAUUUUCCAGGACAGUGACCUCAAGAAAGAAUUGGCCGCAACAAGGGCACUG